rnacentral:rRNA from 1 species
UACAGAGGGUGCGAGCGUUAAUCGGAAUUACUGGGCGUAAAGCGUGCGUAGUCGGUUAUCUAAGUCGGGUGUGAAAUCCCCCGGGCUCAACCUGGGAAUUGCAUUCGAUACUGGAUAGCUAGAGUUCGGUAGGGGAGCACGGAAUUCCUGGUGUAGCGGUGAAAUGCGCAGAUAUCAGGAGGAACACCGGUGGCGAAGGCGGUGCUCUGGGCCGAAACUGACGCUGAGGAGCGAAAGCGUGGGUAGCAAACAGG